rnacentral:rRNA from 1 species
GCACGCGCGCUACACUGACGGAGCCAACGAGUACUAUCCUUGGCCGAGAGGUCCGGGUAAUCUUGUUAAACUCCGUCGUGCUGGGGAUAGAGCAUUGCAAUUAUUGCUCUUCAACGAGGAAUUCCUAGUAAGCGCAAGUCAUCAGCUUGCGUUGAUUACGUCCCUGCCCUUUGUACACACCGCCCGUCGCUAGUACCGAUUGAAUGGCUUAGUGAGGCUUCCGGAUUGGUUUAGAGAAGGGGGCAACUCCAUCUCGGAACUGAAAAGCUAGUCAAACUUGGUCAUUUAGAGGAACUAAAAGUCGUAACAAGGUUUCCGUAGGUGAACCUGCGGAAGGAUCAUUACAGAAUCUCUUCUAAAGUUUUGUUAUGAGUAAUUAUUCUAGCGCUGCUGAAAUAUUGCGUGCGCGGUUGGUUGCUUGUGAUAAUUCUUUGGGAAAACUCUAUACACUUUGUUUUCUUAUUAGAGACAAACUUGCUUUGGUCAGAUGUGCGUAAAACCACGACUGAUCAGAGAUUAAAUAAAACUCAUUUUUGUUUUCGGGCAAAAAACGUGUAUUAUUCAUAGUCAAAACUUGAAGCUAUUCUUUAUUGAAUUGCUGAACUAAACUUAAAACUUUCAACAACGGAUCUCUUGGUUCUCGCAUCGAUGAAGAACGCA